rnacentral:misc_RNA from 1 species
UACGAAGGGGGCUAGCGUUGCUCGGAAUCACUGGGCGUAAAGCGCACGUAGGCGGCUUUCUAAGUCAGGGGUGAAAUUCUGGAGCUCAACUCCAGAACUGCCUUUGAUACUGGAAAGCUUGAGUUCGAGAGAGGUGAGUGGAACUGCGAGUGUAGAGGUGAAAUUCGUAGAUAUUCGUAAGAACACCAGUGGCGAAGGCGGCUCACUGGCUCGAUACUGACGCCGAGGUGCGAAAGCGUGGGGAGCAAACAGG